rnacentral:lncRNA from 1 species
CAAAAUAAAGUCCCGUUUCACCACCCAGUAUUUCCUCAAAGCUACCCAAAAUAUCAUCGCGAUUGAUUUGACAGUGUAGUUUUUUUUUUUUAAUUAAUAUAAUUUAAUUUCUUAACCCUCUUCGAUUUUGAAUGACGUACUGAAUUUUUGCAAACCUAGUAGUAGGAAGCAAUCCAGGCCUGCUGACGUCACUUCCUAAUGAAAGAGUCAUUCUGAGAUUCAGCAGGGACGAAUAUAUUACAGGUAAUUGCAUUUUUAUCUACCAAUUAAGCGUUCAAAUGACUACAACAGAGAAUUAUCCCAGGCGUCUCUACUUGUAGACGGCUAACGUUAAUCUAUACAACACGAUACAGUAAGCGAAUGUUCCUAAUAAACACGGUUCAGCAGAAAAGCGUAGCCGUCAUCCUAUAAACUUCCUCUAAAAUACACCCAGCACGCUACAAAAAACAAAAAACAAAACUGCUGUGAUUAGCGUGUUUUGCUAGUUAAAAUGCACCUUAUAGAUAAGUGGUGAGUUUCAAAAUCUAUGAAAAAUGUAUGAUUUUUAGACCAUAUUUUCAAAUGCGUCACUGUUUAACUACAGGUUAUGGCGACAGAGGAGCUCCGCCUAAAAUUCCAGGUGGUGCCACACUCAUCUUUGAAGUGGAACUGUUGAGCAUUGAGCGAAGAUCUGAUUUAUAGUGACAGAUUUGUGGGGCUGUCAGUCUUAAGCAUUUAAAUCAGUGUUUUUGCAGCAAGAUCAACGACUGCAGCUGCACGCUCCACUGCUGUACUGGUGUCUUUGAAAUCAUUUAUUCACUGUCGUGUCAUUCCAAAACUGUAUUACUGUCUUUCUUCAGUAGAGCAUACAAGAAAAUAUUUUGAAGAAUGCUGGUAGCUAAAACAAAGUCCUACGGGUUUGAAUGACAUGAGUGUGAGUACAUGACAGUUUUCAUUUUUGGGUUGACUAUCCCUUUAAAGACCUUUUUCAGAUAUUCAGAAGGUUACAGAAAAAAAAAAAAAAGUACUGUAAUAGACACUUUCGUUAUUUUUUUUUUAAAUUUUUAGUACCCUUUUACCUUAAAAAGAAAAUAGUAGACGAAAAAAAGUAAAAAAAAAAAAGUUCUGUAAUGACACUUUUCGAUUUUUUUUUUUUUAAAUGUUACCCCCUUUCAAAAAAGAAUGAGACAGCUUUUCAGACAUGUAUGUAGCACCAUUCUUUAUUUGAGAGCCUUACUACACGUAUUUGGUUGUGAGAGUGCACACAGUACAGGUUCUGCCAUUCCUACAAGUUCUUGUUCACUUGAAAAUGAAUAAACGUUUUAUUUACAAAAGAUAUGUGGGAUAGCUUUGAGCUUUAUUUAGCAUUAACCUUGGCCUACACUACCAAAGCAUUUUCAUACUUAGCCAUCAUCACAAUUAGGCAUACUCUUCAUUUUUCUAAAGAUUAGUAAAAAUAUCAGAUGUAACAAAUUCACUCUAUCGGUAUUGCUACUCUUCAUCCUCAAACUA